ACUGGAACUGAGACACGGUCCAGACUCCUACGGGAGGCAGCAGUAAGGAAUCUUCCACAAUGGGCGAAAGCCUGAUGGAGCAACGCCGCGUGCAGGAUGAAGGCCUUCGGGUUGUAAACUGCUUUUAUGAGUGAAGAAUAUGACGGUAACUCAUGAAUAAGCACCGGCUAACUACGUGCCAGCAGCCGCGGUCAUACGUAGGGUGCAAGCAUUAUCCGGAGUGACUGGGCGUAAAGAGUUGCGUAGGUGGUUAUGUAAGUGAAUAGUGAAACCUGGUGGCUCAACCAUACAGACUAUUAUUCAAACUGCAUAACUCGAGAGUGGUAGAGGUAACUGGAAUUUCUUGUGUAGGAGUGAAAUCCGUAGAUAUAAGAAGGAACACCAAUGGCGUAGGCAGGUUACUGGACCAUUUCUGACACUAAGGCACGAAAGCGUGGGGAGCGAACCGGAUUAGAUACCCGGGUAGUCCACGCCGUAAACGAUGGAUACUAGCUGUUGGAGGUAUCGACCCCUUCAGUAGCGAAGCUAACGCGUUAAGUAUCCCGCCUGUGGAGUACGGUCGCAAGACUAAAACAUAAAGGAAUUGACGGGGAUCAGCACAAGCGGUGGAUCGUGUUCUUUAAUUCGAUGAUAAACGAAGAACCUUACCAGGGCUUGACAUCCAGGGAAGCACUACGAAAGUAGAGUGUGCCUUUUGGAACCCUGUGACAGGUGUUGCAUGGCCGUCGUCAGCUCGUGUCGUGAGAUGUUUGGUUAAGUCCAUCAACGAGCGCAACCCUUGUGAAUAGUUGUAUUUUUCUAUUCAAACUGCCCCGGCAACGGGGA
rnacentral:rRNA from 1 species